GUGCUUUCUUUGGCAGCACGUUUACUAAAAUUGGACACAGAGAAGAUUAGCAUGGCUCAUAUGUGAGGAUGACAUGCAAAUUUGUGAAGCAUUCUAUUUUAAA